UAAGACGUAGGAGGCGAGCGUUAUCCGGAUUCACUGGGCGUAAAGCGCAUGUAGGCGGCUCGAUAAGUCGUGUGUUAAAGCCCCUGGCUCAACUGGGGGAGGUCAUGCGAGACUAUCGGACUUGAGGGCAGUAGAGGCACGUGGAACUCCCGGUGUAGCGGUGGAAUGCGUAGAGAUCGGGAAGAACACCCGUGGCGAAGGCGACGUGCUGGGCUGCAACUGACGCUGAGAUGCGAAAGUGUGGGGAGCAAACGGGAUUAGAUACCCCGGUAGUCCACACUGUAAACGAUGAACCCUAGGUGUGGGGGUGAAUAACCUCCGUGCCGAAGCCAACGCGUUAAGGGUUCCGCCUGGGGACUAUGAGCGCAAGCUUA
rnacentral:rRNA from 1 species